AAUGCGACCUUCUUAUUUGAGGCAAUCGGAGAAUCUUGGUGCCCAAUGAACAUGAAUUGAAAGACAUGCUUAAAAAGAUGAAGAUAAAAGUGGACGAAGUAGAUCAUGUUGGUGUGUUUUAAGGAGAAUUCAUUUGAACUGGGAAGUGGAACCGAUAAAUUUUCUCUUGAAAGUUUCUCAC